AAGUCAACACGGACUUCCCUCCCUGCGCGCCAGAACUUUGCGUUGUUCUUAGUGGCAUCUGGGGUCGAGGAGGGCGACUGUCAGCCAGUUGGGGGAUGUUUUCUUCUUGGUCUCUCGGCUUCUGCUUCCCUGUGAGCUGGGCAGCCUCAGCCCAGGUCCUAUCCGGUACUCAGCUGGCCUCGGUGUGCACAGCGCAGGCUUGAGUGCAGCCGUGGGGGCGGGCGGGGCAGAAGCAGGGCCCCUGGGAACAGCUGAGUCUGAAGGGUCAGAAGCCACGGCCCCUGUGGGGGGCUCUGGGGCAGCCAGGGGAGCUGCUCGUUAGUCGUCUCUGGGGCAGAAGGAAGGGACCUUCACCUGGGUUGGGACUGGGCCUGGGUCCCCAGUCUCACAGGGAGCUCGUCCUGAUUGUACCUGCCCGGCUGUGACGGCUGAGCCCGGGCUCCUGGAGGCAAGGCCACCUCAGGCCUCCAGGGCCGGAGCCGCAAGGAGCUGCUGGGUUUCCACAGGGCCACGGGGGCUGCGGCCACACGGAGCGGGAGCACAGGUGGGAAGGGUGUCUGUGAAAAAUGAAAUCUGUUGCCGCUUCCUCUAGCUUAAUUACUGGCAUGGUGGUUGCAGAGUUGAAAUGCAGCUUUAAAAGCCUUUGUGAGUAAUUAGUGUCAAACACACAAGAUCUACAAAGCCAUAAACUCACAGCUUGGUGAUAUUACCAAGUACUAAUUAAGAAAGAAAAAA
rnacentral:lncRNA from 1 species